AUUGAACGCUGGCGGCAGGCCUAACACAUGCAAGUCGAGCGGAGCGUCGGACGGGUGAGUAAUGCCUAGGAAUCUGCCUGGUAGUGGGGGAUAACGUCCGGAAACGGGUGCUAAUACCGCAUACUCUCAGAUGAGCCUAGGUCGGAUUAGCUAGUUGGUGGGGUAAAGGCCUCCCAAGGCGACGAUCCGUAACUGGUAUGAGAGGAGGAUCAUCCACACUGGAACUGAGAUACGGUCCACAUGCCGUCGGAAGGCAGCAGUGGGGACUAUUGGACAAUGGGCGGAAGCCUGAUCCAGUGAUGCCGCGUGUGUGAAGAAGGUCUUCGGAUUGUAAAGCACUUUAAGUUGGGAGGCGUUACCAUCAGAAUAUGCACCGGCUAACUUUGUGCCAGCAGCCGCGGUAAUUC
rnacentral:rRNA from 1 species